rnacentral:rRNA from 1 species
UACGAAGGGAGCUAGCGUUGUUCGGAAUUACUGGGCGUAAAGGGCGCGUAGGCGGGUUUCCAAGUCGGGGGUGAAAUUCCAGGGCUCAACCCUGGGACGGCCUUCGAUACUGGGAGCCUGGAGAUCGGGAGAGGUGAGUGGAAUUCCGAGUGUAGAGGUGAAAUUCGUAGAUAUUCGAAGGAACGCCAAAAGCGAAGGCAGCUCUCUGGGUCCCUGCCGACGCUGGGGUGCGAAAGCAUGGGGAGCGAACAGG